rnacentral:tRNA from 1 species
GCAUCUGUAGUGUAGGGGUUAUCAUCCCAGCCUUCCAUUUCCAAUGACAGCUGGGGACUCGAGUUCGAGUCUCGACAGAUGCA